UGUUCUGUGGCUUAGUUGGUUAAAGUACCGGACUAGCGAUACUAAGUCGUGUGUUCGAAUCCCACCAAAACAA
rfam:Aedes albopictus isolate Foshan contig51634, whole genome shotgun sequence.